ACAGCCAUAGUUUAUUGGAUGUUUACGUUCCUACAUGGACACCUGCGGUAAUUCUGGAGCUAAUACAUGCACAAGCCGACGACCUUACGGAAGUCGCGCAUUUGUUAGAUCAAACCAAUCGGUCCUCCGGGACCGUAAUUUGAUGACUCUGAACAACUUAGCUGACCGCACAGUCUCGUACUGGCGGCAUAUCUUUCAAGUGUCUGCCUUAUCAACUUUCGUUGGUAGUUUAUACGACUACCAAGGUUGUAACGGGUAACGGAGAAUAAGGGUUCGACUCCGGAGAGGGAGCCUGAGAAACGGCUACCACAUCCAAGGAAGGCAGCAGGCGCGCAAAUUACCCACUCGCAGAACGCGGAGGUAGUGACGAAAAAUAACGAGGUGGCUCUCUAUGAGGUCCAUCAUCGGAAUGGGUACAAUUUAAAUCCUUUAACGAGGAUCUAUUGGAGGGCAAGUCUGGUGCCAGCAGCCGCGGUAAUUCCAGCUCCAAUAGCGUAUACUAAAGUUGUUGCGGUUAAAAAGCUCGUAGUUGGAUCUGCGCUCUGUGAGAGCGGUCGCUCGCUGAGUUGUACUGUCUCUCACGGGCUAACCAUUCGGUUUUCCCUUGAUGCUCUUCAUUGAGUGUCCUGGGUGACCGGAACGUUUACUUUGAAAAAAUUAGAGUGCUCAAAGCAGGCGAUUUGCCCGAAUAUUCGUGCAUGGAAUAAUAAAAGAGGUCCUUGUAGCCUUUUAUUGGUUAUCGCUACGAGGAAAUGAUCGAAGGGGACAGACGGGGGCAUUUGUAUUGCGACGUUAGAGGUGAAAUUCUUGGAUCGUCGCAAGACAAACUACUGCGAAAGCAUUUGCCAAGAAUGUUUUCAUCAAUCAAGAACGAAAGUCUGAGGUUCGACAGCGAUCAGAUAA
rnacentral:rRNA from 1 species